rnacentral:lncRNA from 1 species
UUAGGAUGCAGUUGUUCGCAUUCUUCGGUAUAUAAAAUCAACUCCAGGUAAAGGUUUAUUGUUUGAGGAUCGAGGACAUGAGCAGAUUGUUGGAUACUCUGAUACUGAUUAGGCAGGAUCACCGUCUGACAGACGUUCUACUUCUGGAUAUUGUGUCUUAGUAGGAGAAAAUUUGGUAUUUUGCAAAAGCAAGAAACAAAAUGUGGUUGCUCGGUCUAGUGCAGAAGAAGAAUAUCGAGCAAUGGCUAUGGCGACAUGUGAGCUAGCUUGAAUCAAACAGUUGCUCAAAGAGCUGAAAUUUGGUGAUGUUAGUCAGAUGAGACUUGUGUGUGAUAAUCAAGCUGCUCUUCAUAUUGCGUAAAAUCCAGUGUUCCAUGAGAGAACUAAGCACAUUGAGAUUGACUGUCACUUUGUCAGAGAAAAGAUACUCUCGGGAGAUAUUGUGUUAGUCAGAUGGGACUUGUGUAUUAUAAUCAAGCUGCUCUUUAUAUUGCGUCAAAUCCAGUGUUCUAGGAGAGAACUAAAUACAUUGAGAUUGACUGUACCUUUGUCACAGAAAAGAUACUCUCGGGAGAUAUUGCUACAAAGUUUGUGAAGUCAAAUGAUCAGCUUGCAGAUAAAUUCACCAAGUCCCUCACUGGUCCUCGUAUUAACUACAUAUGUAACAA